UACGUAGGGUGCGAGCGUUGUCCGGAAUUAUUGGGCGUAAAGAGCUUGUAGGUGGCUCGUUGCGUCGGGGAGUGAAAACCUGCGGCUUAACCGCAGGCCUGCUUCCGAUACGGGCGAGCUAGAGUUCGGCAGGGGAGACUGGAAUUCCUGGUGUAGCGGUGGAAUGCGCAGAUAUCAGGAGGAACACCGGUGGCGAAGGCGGGUCUCUGGGCCGAUACUGACACUGAGAAGCGAAAGCGUGGGGAGCGAACAGG
rnacentral:rRNA from 1 species